rnacentral:rRNA from 1 species
GCUUCCGGAGCUAACGCGUUAAGUCGACCGCCUGGGGAGUACGGCCGCAAGGUUAAAACUCAAAUGAAUUGACGGGGGCCCGCACAAGCGGUGGAGCAUGUGGUUUAAUUCGAUGCAACGCGAAGAACCUUACCUACUCUUGACAUCCANGGAAUUUAGCAGAGAUGCUUUGGUGCCUUCGGGAACCGUGAGACAGGUGCUGCAUGGCUGUCGUCAGCUCGUGUUGUGAAAUGUUGGGUUAAGUCCCGCAACGAGCGCAACCCUUAUCCUUUGUUGCCAGCGAUUCGGUCGGGAACUCAAAGGAGACUGCCGGUGAUAAACCGGAGGAAGGUGGGGAUGACGUCAAGUCAUCAUGGCCCUUACGAGUAGGGCUACACACGUGCUACAAUGGCGCAUACAAAGAGAAGCGACCUCGCGAGAGCAAGCGGACCUCACAAAGUGCGUCGUAGUCCGGAUCGGAGUCUGCAACUCGACUCCGUGAAGUCGGAAUCGCUAGUAAUCGUGGAUCAGAAUGCCACGGUGAAUACGUUCCCGGGCCUUGUACACACCGCCCGUCACACCAUGGGAGUGGGU